UUGGAGGGCAAGUCUGGUGCCAGCAGCCGCGGUAAUUCCAGCUCCAAUAGCGUAUAUUAAAGUUGUUGCAGUUAAAAAGCUCGUAGUUGAAUUUCGGGGUUAGUAGGUUGGUCGUGCCUCAGGUAUGUACUGAUCUCACUGAUUCCUCCUUCCUGAUGAACCGUAAUGCCAUUAAUUUGGUGUUGCGGGGAAACUGGACUGUUACUUUGAAAAAAUUAGAGUGUUUAAAGCAGGCUAACGCUUGAAUACAUUAGCAUGGAAUAAUGAAAUAGGACGUUCGAUCCUAUUUUGUUGGUUUCUAGGAUUGACGUAAUGAUUAAUAGGGAUAGUUGGGGGCAUUAGUAUUCAAUUGUCGGAGGUGAAAUUCUUGGAUUUAUUGAAGACUAACUACUGCGAAAGCAUUUGCCAAGGAUGUUUUCAUUAAUCAAGAACGAAAGUUAGGGGAUCGAAGACGAUCAGAUACCGUCGUAGUCUUAACCAUAAACUAUGCCGACUAGGGAUCGGAUGAUGUUAAUUUUUUAAUGACUCAUUCGGCGCCUUACGGGAAA
rnacentral:rRNA from 1 species